GACGAACGCUGGCGGCGUGCUUAACACAUGCAAGUCGAACGGAAAGGCCCUGCUUUUGUGGGGUGCUCGAGUGGCGAACGGGUGAGUAACACGUGAGUAACCUGCCCUUGACUUUGGGAUAACUUCAGGAAACUGGGGCUAAUACCGGAUAGGAGCUCCUGCUGCAUGGUGGGGGUUGGAAAGUUUCGGCGGUUGGGGAUGGACUCGCGGCUUAUCAGCUUGUUGGUGGGGUAGUGGCUUACCAAGGCUUUGACGGGUAGCCGGCCUGAGAGGGUGACCGGCCACAUGGGGACUGAGAUACGGCCCAGACUCCUACGGGAGGCAGCAGUGGGGAAUAUUGCACAAUGGGCGGAAGCCUGAUGCAGCAACGCCGCGUGCGGGAUGAAGGCCUUCGGGUUGUAAACCGCUUUCGCCUGGGACGAAGCGUGAGUGACGGUAAUGGGUAAAGAAGCACCGGCUAACUACG
rnacentral:rRNA from 1 species